rnacentral:piRNA from 1 species
UUCUACCUGGUUGCCUGCCUUA